GGUUUCUGAGAGGUGAUAUAAGUGAGCUUCUUGUUGCUAUUGAUGCUAAUAUUGUCAUGGGAUGUGUUGAAAAGGUUGUUAAAGAUAAGAAAGUGUUAAAUUUGAUAAAAACUGCGCUUAAACCGGCAACUAGGAGUCGACAACCACCAAAGAGCGGUGUUAGUGAAGAGUUGAGACGGAAGAAAAAGAAGGGGGCUACAAAGAAGAAGAUUUUGAAUGAGAAUGAGCC
rnacentral:misc_RNA from 1 species